AGUACAAAGUAUAAUGUCCCAUAACGCCGAAACGCAUUCGAAAAGUUAUCGAAACGCAUCGCUAGAACAAUGAGCGCAUCAGAACAAAGUCGAUGCUUCGUUUGUUUUUGUUAUCGUUAUUAUUAUUAA